CCUACGGGCGGCAGCAGUGAGGAAUAUUGGUCAAUGGACGAGAGUCUGAACCAGCCAAGUAGCGUGAAGGAUGACUGCCCUAUGGGUUGUAAACUUCUUUUAUAUGGGAAUAAAAUGUUCCACGUGUGGGAUUUUGUAUGUACCAUAUGAAUAAGGAUCGGCUAACUCCGUGCCAGCAGCCGCGGUAAUACGGAGGAUCCGAGCGUUAUCCGGAUUUAUUGGGUUUAAGGGGAGCGUAGGUGGAUUGUUAAGUCAGUUGUGAAAGUUUGCGGCUCAACCGUAAAAUUGCAGUUGAAACUGGCAGUCUUGAGUACAGUAGAGGUGGGCGGAAUUCGUGGUGUAGCGGUGAAAUGCUUAGAUAUCACGAAGAACUCCGAUUGCGAAGGCAGUUCACUGGACUGCAACUGUCACUGAGGCUCGAAAGUGUGGGUAUCAAACAGGAUUAGAUACCCCGGUAGUC
rnacentral:rRNA from 1 species